GUUUCCUUUGCCUGAUCUGUAAACAUGUCCACAGACCUGCUAUCUGAAAAGGAGCACAUGGUGCUGAAUGGGUCCUCUUGUGAAAACAAAACAGAGCAGAGUUAGACUUAGCUGAACACUGGGGUAUUUGGAAAACUGUGCUGAGCGAAGAUGGCACGUUUCCUGCCACCUUGGGCUGGAACAGCAUGACUUUUUACUAAAAACACUAAUUUAAGCAAGGGUGUGAGGACUGUGGUAAAAGCCUUAUAGGAGAAUGCAAGCUCCAUGGACCACUCAUCAGGGCUAAAGAUAGGGUUAUUCCUAGCCGAGCCCGUCUUACCCUACCUCAUUACCUCACUUUGCGAGUGUUGGAGCUACGAGCCGGAAACCAGCAGAUCCUUGGAGUAUUUGCAAAGAAAGUAAUACAGAAGAGAACACAGUUUGGUCCUUAUGUUGGUCAACUGUCUACAAAACUGACCUGCUAUGAUGAGAGCAGGCUAGUCCUGCAGGUAUUGAAAGAUGGAGGGAAGUACUUUCUGGACACUCCCA
rnacentral:lncRNA from 1 species